rnacentral:misc_RNA from 1 species
UCUCCGUUGGUGAACCAGCGGAGGGAUCAUUACAGAGUUGCAAAACUCCCUAAACCAUUGUGAACGUUACCUAAACCGUUGCUUCGGCGGGCGGCCCCGGGGUUCUCCCCGGGCGCCCCUGGGCCGGAAGCCGCCGGAGGUUACAAACCCUGAAUUUUAGUGUAUCUCUGAGUACAAAAACGAAAUAAUUAAAACUUUCAACAACGGAUCUCUUGGUUCUG